ACCUCAGUGGCGUAGUGGUCAAGGCACUCGCCUGGUAAACAGGAGGGCGUGGGUUCGCUCCCAGCCGAGGUA
rnacentral:tRNA from 1 species